AACGCGAAGAACCUUACCCACCUUUGACAUGUACGGAAUCCUUUAGAGAUAGAGGAGUGCUCGAAAGAGAACCGUAACACAGGUGCUGCAUGGCUGUCGUCAGCUCGUGUCGUGAGAUGUUGGGUUAAGUCCCGCAACGAGCGCAACCCUUGCCAUUAGUUGCUACAUUUAGUUGGGCACUCUAAUGGGACUGCCGGUGACAAACCGGAGGAAGGUGGGGAUGACGUCAAGUCCUCAUGGCCCUUAUAGGUGGGGCUACACACGUCAUACAAUGGCUGGUACAGAGGGUUGCGAACCCGCGAGGGGGAGCUAAUCGGAAAAAACCAUGCUCAGUUCGGAUUGCAGUCUGCAACUCGACUGCAUGAAGCCGGAAUCGCUAGUAAUGGCGUAUCAGAACGACGCCGUGAAUACGUUCCCGGGCCUUGUACACACCGCGCAUA
rnacentral:rRNA from 1 species